rnacentral:rRNA from 2 species
CCUGGCUCAGGACGAACGCUGGCGGCGUGCCUAAUACAUGCAAGUCGAACGCUUCUUUUUCCACCGGAGCUUGCUCCACCGGAAAAAGAGGAGUGGCGAACGGGUGAGUAACACGUGGGUAACCUGCCCAUCAGAAGGGGAUAACACUUGGAAACAGGUGCUAAUACCGUAUAACAAUCAAAACCGCAUGGUUUUGAUUUGAAAGGCGCUUUCGGGUGUCGCUGAUGGAUGGACCCGCGGUGCAUUAGCUAGUUGGUGAGGUAACGGCUCACCAAGGCCACGAUGCAUAGCCGACCUGAGAGGGUGAUCGGCCACAUUGGGACUGAGACACGGCCCAAACUCCUACGGGAGGCAGCAGUAGGGAAUCUUCGGCAAUGGACGAAAGUCUGACCGAGCAACGCCGCGUGAGUGAAGAAGGUUUUCGGAUCGUAAAACUCUGUUGUUAGAGAAGAACAAGGAUGAGAGUAACUGUUCAUCCCUUGACGGUAUCUAACCAGAAAGCCACGGCUAACUACGUGCCAGCAGCCGCGGUAAUACGUAGGUGGCAAGCGUUGUCCGGAUUUAUUGGGCGUAAAGCGAGCGCAGGCGGUUUCUUAAGUCUGAUGUGAAAGCCCCCGGCUCAACCGGGGAGGGUCAUUGGAAACUGGGAGACUUGAGUGCAGAAGAGGAGAGUGGAAUUCCAUGUGUAGCGGUGAAAUGCGUAGAUAUAUGGAGGAACACCAGUGGCGAAGGCGGCUCUCUGGUCUGUAACUGACGCUGAGGCUCGAAAGCGUGGGGAGCAAACAGGAUUAGAUACCCUGGUAGUCCACGCCGUAAACGAUGAGUGCUAAGUGUUGGAGGGUUUCCGCCCUUCAGUGCUGCAGCUAACGCAUUAAGCACUCCGCCUGGGGAGUACGACCGCAAGGUUGAAACUCAAAGGAAUUGACGGGGGCCCGCACAAGCGGUGGAGCAUGUGGUUUAAUUCGAAGCAACGCGAAGAACCUUACCAGGUCUUGACAUCCUUUGACCACUCUAGAGAUAGAGCUUCCCCU